AGUUGGGGAAAUGAUAAUUGAAAUGUGAACUAUCUGAGUGUGACAGUUAUGACUGGACAGAUUUAGCAGUCUCUUUUGAGAUGUUCUAUGUGUUUACCCGUUCUUAGAAAUAUUUCUAUGGCUAUUGAUCUUCUGAAGAAAUUCUUGUUAUAUGGGAAUGUCUUUUAAUCCUGGUGUUGGAUGAAAGCAUUGGUAGUCUGACUAGUUUAUAAUUUAUAUUGCUCUAUUUCAUCGGGUAUUCUAUUUCAUUUCGUCUGAUAAGAAUUGAUGAGAGAAUAUGUGACAGCCCUAAUGUG
rnacentral:lncRNA from 1 species